ACGGGUGAGUAACACGUGGGCAACCUGCCCUUGAGACUGGGAUAACUUCGGGAAACCGGAGCUAAUACCGGAUAAUAUAAGGAACCUCCUGGUUCCUUAUUGAAAGAUGGUUUCGGCUAUCACUUAAGGAUGGGCCCGCGGCGCAUUAGCUAGUUGGUGAGGUAACGGCUCACCAAGGCGACGAUGCGUAGCCGACCUGAGAGGGUGAUCGGCCACACUGGGACUGAGACACGGCCCAGACUCCUACGGGAGGCAGCAGUAGGGAAUCUUCCACAAUGGACGAAAGUCUGAUGGAGCAACGCCGCGUGAGUGAUGAAGGCCUUCGGGUCGUAAAGCUCUGUUGUUAGGGAAGAACAAGUGCGAGAGCAACUGCUCGCACCUUGACGGUACCUAACCAGAAAGCCACGGCUAACUACGUGCCAGCAGCCGCGGUAAUACGUAGGUGGCAAGCGUUAUCCGGAAUUAUUGGGCGUAAAGCGCGCGCAGGUGGUUUCUUAAGUCUGAUGUGAAAGCCCACGGCUCAACCGUGGAGGGUCAUUGGAAACUGGGGAACUUGAGUGCAGAAGAGGAAAGUGGAAUUCCAAG
rnacentral:rRNA from 1 species